rnacentral:lncRNA from 1 species
UAUCUAGAUGAAAGAGAAGGCCGAACAAGCUUUUAGCAUGGGAAAAUAAUCAGGAAGUCUUCCUUUUGCCACAUAUUAGGCAUCCUUCACAAGGUGCUGGCAUGUGGGUGGAUAGGGAUAAGGUUUUAGAUGUAAAUUCAAACCUUUUGAAUUCAAUUCAAAACCAACCUAAUCCUAUCACUUAUGGGUGACAACAUGAGGGGUUUUGGCAUGAAAUAAUCAGCACACAAACCUUUUUGUGUGAUAAAAGAAAAUGUUGAG